rnacentral:rRNA from 1 species
ACGCUGGCGGCAGGCUUAACACAUGCAAGUCGAACGGUAACAGGGAUUAGCUUGCUAAUCUGCUGACGAGUGGCGGACGGGUGAGUAAUGCUUGGGAAUCUGGCUUAUGGAGGGGGAUAACUACGGGAAACUGUAGCUAAUACCGCGUAAAAUCUUCGGAUUAAAGGGUGGGACUUUCGAGCCACCUGCCAUAAGAUGAGCCCAAGUGGGAUUAGGUAGUUGGUUAGGUAAAGGCUGACCAAGCCGACGAUCUCUAGCUGGUCUGAGAGGAUGACCAGCCACACUGGAACUGAGACACGGUCCAGACUCCUACGGGAGGCAGCAGUGGGGAAUAUUGCACAAUGGGGGGAACCCUGAUGCAGCCAUGCCGCGUGAAUGAAGAAGGCCUUCGGGUUGUAAAGUUCUUUCGGUGACGAGGAAGGUUGGUAGGUUAAUAGCCUAUCAAAUUGACGUUAAUCACAGAAGAAGCACCGGCUAACUCGUGCCAGCAGCCGCGGUAAUACGGGGGGUGCGAGCGUUAAUCGGAAUAACUGGGCGUAAAGGGCACGCAGGCGGUGACUUAAGUGAGAUGUGAAAGCCCCGAGCUUAACUUGGGAAUUGCAUUUCAUACUGGGUCGCUAGAGUACUUUAGGGAGGGGUAGAAUUCCACGUGUAGCGGUGAAAUGCGUAGAGAUGUGGAGGAAUACCGAAGGCGAAGGCAGCCCCUUGGGAAUGUACUGACGCUCAUGUGCGAAAGCGUGGGGAGCAAACAGGAUUAGAUACCCUGGUAGUCCACGCUGUAAACGAUGUCGAUUUGGGGAUUGGGCUUUGAGCUUGGUGCCCGUAGCUAACGUGAUAAAUCGACCGCCUGGGGAGUACGGCCGCAAGGUUAAAACUCAAAUGAAUUGACGGGGGCCCGCACAAGCGG